CAGCCGCCGCGGUAAUACGAAGGGGGCUAGCGUUGCUCGGAAUUACUGGGCGUAAAGGGCGCGUAGGCGGACAGUUCAGUCGGGGGUGAAAGCCCGGGGCUCAACCUCGGAAUUGCCUUCGAUACUGGCUGUCUUGAGUAUGAGAGAGGUGUGUGGAACUCCGAGUGUAGAGGUGAAAUUCGUAGAUAUUCGGAAGAACACCAGUGGCGAAGGCGACACACUGGCUCAUUCUAGACGCUGAGGUGCGAAAGCGUGGGGAGCAAACAGGAUUAGAUACCCCAGUAGUCCCUGUCUCUUAUAC
rnacentral:rRNA from 1 species